rnacentral:rRNA from 1 species
AUGAGGCCCGCGGCGGCCGCGGCCGCAUCCGUGCUGCAGGCGCCACGCCGCGCGCUCGGAGGGGUGUCGUUCGUCGCCGCCCGCUGCGCCUCCUCCUCCUCCUCUGUCGCCGCCGCCGCCACUGCGUACGAUCAUGUGUCGUUUGUCAAGGAAGUCGCCGUGACCGAUCCCCCGGAGCAUCUCAACUCUUUACUGAAUGUGCUUCAUGCACGAGGUGAGAAGAUAGUUUCUCCUGGAGCUAAAAGAGGGCUGAUUCCACUUGUUGUUCCCCUGUCGGAAAGCCCACAAGGUAACUUGACAUCCCUGCUGAGAUGGCCGACUGCUCCAAGUGGGAUGGAAAUGCCUGUAGUGGAAGUGCGUAGCCAUGGGCUAUGGCUUUUGGCUAAAAACGUCAAUCAAUAUAUUCAUAGAACACUUGUCGAGGCUGACAGCAGAGCUGAGAGUGGUGAUGAUUUAUGGUCUGCUGUUCGAGAAGAUUUAUGGUCUGCUGUAGGGGAAGCUGGUCCAAACAUUUACAAAAGAGGUGAUUUCAAAGAAUCGCAGAUGGCAGAUCUUGAUGUCUAUUUGUUGAAGAAGGUUGGACUCUUUCCAGACAUUCUAGAAAGGAAAGCAUCACGCCACCUGGAAAAAGGAGAUAAUGUCUCUGCUCUUAUUACUUCAGAAUUCUAUACUAGAGAUCAAUUUCCUGGAUUUGGAAGACCCUUUGUGUUCAACUCAGAAGUUCAAAAAAGAAUUGGGCGUACAUCUGAAGCCAAAGAAUCAGCUCGAGUGGCUUUGAAGUCACCAUGGUGGACACUAGGCUGUAGAUACGAAGAGGCAGCUGAACUAGCUGGGUGGGAGGAUGAGCAGAUCGAGUUCAUAAGAGAAAAGGUAUCCGAAGAGGGCAAACAAGAUGAUCUGAAGAAAGGAAAAGCUCCAGAGCAGGUGGUCCUUGACGAGGCGGCGUUUCUGAUGGAUCUGGCCACGGUCGACGGCAACUGGGACGAAGUCGUGGAUCGGAUCGCCGACUGCUACAGAGAGGCUGGGAUCCACGACAUUGCACAGUUCAUCGCUUAUAGGGAAUAG